AAGGAUGCGGAUCUUGGAUGGCUGAUUUGUUAAUCAAAUACCUAAACAGAAAUUUGGCAGGUCUAAAUUGUUCACUUUAGAAAAUAAAAUUGAUUCUAAUACUGCCCAGUUACCAAAUACACAUGAUCUCAAUAGGCACCACAGUAAGUUGAGAGAAAUAGAGGGUGACGUGGAUUUAGGGGGAAAAGUACAUUCAGAGAUAGAGGGGGAAAUG
rnacentral:lncRNA from 1 species